rnacentral:lncRNA from 1 species
CCCCCCCCCCCCCCCCCCCCCCCCCCCCCCCCCCCCCCCCCCCCCCCCCCCCCCCCCCCCCCCCCCCCCCCCCCCCCCCCCCCCCCCCCCCCCCCCCCCCCCCCCCCCCCCCCCCCCACCCCCCCGAGAUCCCCCUGCCCUCAGACUGUUUAGAUUUCUCUCCAGUUUUAAAGAAAAUAUUUCCAGUAAUCCAGAUUUCUGGAAAAUAACAACAUGCGGGGAGACGCAGACACAAACGCCGCUGAAGUUUAUCCAGAGUUUGAACAAUUUAUAAACACAUUUCCCAGCCUGUUUGGCAGGGCGGGCGGCGAGUGACCCCGGCCCGGCCGGGAGGAGACACACGCAUCCUCAAUCCUCCGGUUACUCCGCGCCACUUUGAGCUGUGAACCUGCACUUCAUUGAAUUUAAUUUUUUUUUUUUUGAGUUACGGAGCGCUCUUUGAGUUAGUGACCCCCUCCAGCCCCGCGCCCCCGCCCCCCCCCCCCCCCCCCCCCCCCCCCCCCCCCCCCCCCCCCCCCCCCCCCCCCCCCCCCCCCCCCCCCCCCCCCCCCCCCCCCCCCCCCCCCCCCCCCCCCCCCCCCCCCCCCCCCCCCCCCCCCCCCCCCCCCCCCCCCCCCCCCCCCCCCCCCCCCCCCCCCCCCCCCCCCCGAACCGGGGCUGGCCCCGAGGAUCGGGAUGGGAACGGGCGCGGGGAUGGAGGGGCGCGGUGAGGGAUCAUGCAAAUCCCUCUGUUUAAAAAACUUCCAUUUGAGAAAGUGUGUCACAUCCCGGCGCGGGCGCGUAAUCCCGGGCUAAUGGCAUUAUCGCCGCCUCAUCGCCGUCAUGGGAUGGGGCCGGGGGCGAGCACCCCCCCCCCGCCCGCAGCCACGCGUGACCGUGGCUCGGUUCUGCGGGGAAACGGAGCCGCAGAUCCGCCCGCUCCUUGUCGGGUUCGGUGUCGCUGCCCCUCCCGGCCCCCCUGGCUCCCCCUCGCAGGCUCUAUCGGCGCCUAUCGAUAGUCGGGGUCUGCCCGCAUUUCCCGAGCUAAGCCGGGGUUCCUCUCUUUAAUCAAACAGCUCCAG